rnacentral:rRNA from 1 species
CCUACGGGAGACAGCAGUGAGGAAUAUUGGUCAAUGGGCUUACGCCUGAACCAGCCAAGUCGCGUGAGGGAAGACUGCCCUAUGGGUUGUAAACCUCUUUUGUCAGGGAGCAAUUGGCGCUACGUGUAUCGUUAUCGCGAGUACCUGAAGAACCAGCAUCGGCUAACUCCGUGCCAGCCGCCGCGGUAAUACGGAGGAUGCGAGCGUUAUCCGGCUUGAUGGGGUUUAACGGGUGCGUAGGCGGAAUGCCAAGUCAGCGGUAAAAUCGCGGGGCUCAACCUCGCUCCGCCGUUGAAACUGGCGUUCUUGAGUGGGCGAGAAGUAUGCGGAAUGCGUGGUGUAGCGGUGAAAUGCAUAGAUAUCACGCAGAACUCCGAUUGCGAAGGCAGCAUACCGGCGCCCAACUGACGCUGAAGCACGAAAGCGUGGGUAGCGAACAGGAUUAGAGACCCUGGUAGUC